GUAACCUCGGAACACAUUUCUAUUGCUUCGAGUUCGACUCGACGCGACCUCUCUCGCUUGGACGGCCCUGUCCCUCCGCCGCCCCAUGCCCACGCGCCGCCGCAGCCGACAUGACGCUCGCCUCCCUCGCCCGCGCCCUCGGCCGGUCCGCGCGCUCCUCCCGGCCGCGCCAGGCCAGUCUCCCUUCUCAUACCCUCUCCUGCCUCCUAUCACCUUGCACACAUCCGCAGGUAUGGACAUUUCGCUAUCCUUUUUAGGGUUUCCAGCUCGGGGGCCUCCGGCAUUCGCCCGCGCCGCCGCUACCGCUGCCUGUCCACGGUGGUGAUGGCGGGGCGAUAGGAUUUGUCAGCAGUUAGCUGACUGCGGCAGUGCGGCAUCGUCGGCAGCCCUUGGGAAGCCCGUCGUGGACGAGACUGUGGAUUGGAGAUACAUCCUCGCCAGGCCGCAGUUCCGACGGCUCUUCUCGAACGACACUCUAGGAAGAACUACGAGAACUACUACCCCAAGGGUAAAAAGGAGGUGCAGAAAGGAGAUGGGAGCAAAAAGUCUGAAUCGAAGCGUCGAGCAGAUUUGGAAGGUUGCAGGGAGUGAAGUGUGUGAUUGCAGGGAGGAACCUUUACAUGAGGUUCAGGUGCAGCAUAGGGGAUGCCAUGGGGAUGAACAUGGUCUCCAAAGGUGUACAGAACGUGCUGGACUACCUCCAGGCUGACUUCUCUGAUAUGGAUGUCAUCAGCAUAUCAGGUUUCCCCAUGUUAUAAAUUCUUAAACUCCGUUUGUGAAUUUGACCUGCUUUGUUGUGCAUCUGACUGUUUCUAUUUAAGAUCAGUAUAUUCUAAUUCAAGAACCAGAUAAAAAAAUUCUCACCGAUUACACUACGACCUAGCAAUAUAUGUGAAAUACAAUAUCUUACAUGGAAAGAAAUAUAGUUUAUGAUGAAAAAUAUUCUUUAUAUUAGUUAUUACGUUUCGGUACAAGAUGGUAUACGAGUGAAUGGCCUCUCUACUUCAGCGGAUUAUUUUACUGCUAGCUUUUGUUUAUCACACAGACGCAGUUAAUGCUUAAUCCUCAGAGCUGCAUAUAACCAAGUGGUGCUUACCUGGAUUUGAGGACCUCUGAUGCUUGUUUAUCUCAAGAGUGCUGGUCGAUUCCUGUUGGCUAUAAGAUAUUCAGAUAGUGUAUGCCUGUCCAACUGAAAUGCAGUACUCGCGAUCCAACCUAUUUGGGAUGCAGUACUCGCGCAAGCGCUACUUCGUGCUCGAGGACGCCGCGCUCCGCUGCUUCAAGUCUGCGCCAUCCUCCAAGGGCGAGGUGGAUUCUUUCAUGGUGUUCGCAGUAUAAGUUUCGGGGUUGACCUUCAAGAAAUAAGGCUGAUGGGUGUACUGCAGAGAAUUGCAAUAGCUUAUCUGUUGACCGCCCUCUGUGAGAUUUGGAUCAGAGGAGAUGAAGAUGUAGACUAUG